rnacentral:rRNA from 1 species
UGAAUACGAGACGCUAAGGCGUCGAAGUAGUGUAUGUCAUACUUCCAAGAAAAGCUUGCACUGUCAUAGAUAAAAAACGCCUGUACCAUAACCGACACAGGUGGGUAGGUAGAGUAUACUAAGGGGCGCGAGAUAACUCUCUCUAAGGAACUCGGCAAAAUAACUCCGUAACUUCGGGAGAAGGAGUGCCUUAUUAUUAAGGUUGCAAUAACAAGAUCCAAGCAACUGUUUAUCAAAAACACAGGUCUCCGCUAAGUCGUAAGACGAUGUAUGGGGGCUGACGCCUGCCCAGUGCCAGAAGGUUAAAGAAGCUGGUUAGCAUUUGCGAAGCUAGUAACUGAAGCCCUGGUGAACGGCGGCCGUAACAAUAACGGUCCUAAGGUAGCGAAAUUCCUUGUCGGGUAAGUUCCGACCCGCACGAAAGCGUAAUGAUUUGGAUACUGUCUCGGAGAGGGGCUCGGUGAAAUAGACUUGUCUGUGAAGAUGCGGACUACCUGCACCAGGACAGAAAGACCCUAUGAAGCUUUACUGUAACUUGAAAUUGAAAUUGGACUUUAUUCGCGCAGUAUAGGUGGGAGGCGUUGAUUAUAAUCUUGCGGGAUUAUUGGAGCCAUUAGUGAGAUACCACUCUUGUAAUGUUAGAUUUCUAACUUUGAAUCAUUAUCUGGUCAAAGAACAGUUUCAGGCGGGCAGUUUGACUGGGGCGGUCGCCUCCUAAACGGUAACGGAGGCGUACAAAGGUUUCCUCUGAACGGUUAGAAAUCGUAUCUAGAGUGUAAAGGCAUAAGGAAGCUUGACUGUGAGACCUACAAGUCGAGCAGGGACGAAAGUCGGUCUUAGUGUUCUGACGGUACUGAGUGGAAAGGCCGUCACUCAACGGAUAAAAGUUACUCUAGGAUAACAGGCUGAUCUCCCCCAAGAGUUCACAUCGACGGGGAGGUUUGGCACCUCGAUGUCGGCUCAUCGCAUCCUGGGGCGGUAGUACGUCCCAAGGGUUGGGCUGUUCGCCCAUGAAAGCGGUACGCGAGCUGGGUUCAGAACGUCGUGAGACAGUUCGGUCCAUAUCCGGUGUAGGCGUUAGAAUAUUGAGAGGAGCCUUCUUUAGUACGAGAGGACCGAGAAGGACAUACCUCUGGUGUACCAGUUAUCGUGCCAACGGUAGACGCUGGGUAGCUAUGUAUGGAGUGGAUAACCGCUGAAAGCAUCUAAGUGGGAAGCCCACCUCAAGAUAAGUAUUCUC